GCCGGGUGUGGUGGCUCACACCUGUAAUCCCAGCACUUUGGGAGGCUGAGGCAGGUGGAUCACCUGAGGUCAGGAGUUCAAGACAGGCCUGGCCAACAUGGUGAAACCCUGUCUCUA
ensembl:misc_RNA Metazoa_SRP Metazoan signal recognition particle RNA